UUCACUCCAUCUCUCUCCGACACCUCUUUUUUUGUGUAUCAUCAAACUUCUGACACUGCCUAUUUACUUCUCUAUGUAGAUGAUAUCAUUCUUACCGCCUCCUCUCAAAAGUUCCUAGAUCAUAUUGUCUCUCUUCUUAGAUCUGAAUUUUCUAUGACUGACCUAGGACUCCAUCAUUUUUUAGGCAUUGCUGUUGUUCAAGAUUCCUCCAGCCUUUUUCUUUCCCAACGCCAGUAUAUUCUUGAUCUUCUUAAUCGUGCUGGUAUGCUUGACUGUCAAUCAUCUCGCACUCCUGUCGAUACUAGUUUUAAACUUUCG
rnacentral:rRNA from 1 species